rfam:Tupaia chinensis contig5820, whole genome shotgun sequence.
CUCUAUGGUUAGUUUUGCAGGUUUGCAUCCAGCUGUGUGAUAUUCUGCUGUGCAAAUCCAUGCAAAACUGACUGUGGUA